AGUUUGGUGAUAAUAUAUACUAAAUAAAUUCUGCCCAGUGUAAAUAUAUAAAUGGCCGCAGUACCCUGACUGUGCUAAGGUAGCAUAAUCAAUUGGCUUUUAAUUGAAGUCUGGAAUGAAAGAAACCAUGAGAAAUUACUGUCUUGAAAAUAUUAAUUUUAACUUACUUAUAAGGUGAAAAUGCCUUUUUUUAAAAAAAAGACGAGAAGACCCUAAGAAUUUUAAAAUUAGUUUAGAAUAAAUAAUUAAUUUUUUUGUUGGGGCGACAUAUUAGAAAUAUUAACCUAAUUUAUUAAACAGGCGAAUUUUUUAAGUAAUAAAAAAUUACCUUAGGGAUAACAGCAUAAUUUUAUAAAAAGUUUGUGACCUCGAUGUUGGACUAGGAACUUUAUGGCUAACAGUCAAAAAAGAUUUAUUCUGUUCGAAUAAUUUUAUCCU
rnacentral:rRNA from 1 species